rnacentral:rRNA from 1 species
AACGAACGCUGGCGGCAGGCUUAACACAUGCAAGUCGAGCGCCCCGCAAGGGGAGCGGCAGACGGGUGAGUAACGCGUGGGAACGUACCCUUUGCUACGGAAUAGCUCCGGGAAACUGGAACUAAUACCGUAUGUGCCCUACGGGGGAAAGAGUUAUCGGCGAAGGAUCGGCCCGCGUUGGAUUAGCUAGUUGGUGGGGUAAUGGCCUACCAAGGCGACGAUCCAUAGCUGGUCUGAGAGGAUGAUCAGCCACAUUGGGACUGAGACACGGCCCAAACUCCUACGGGAGGCAGCAGUGGGGAAUAUUGGACAAUGGGCGCAAGGCUGAUCCAGCCAUGCCGCGUGAGUGAUGAAGGCCUUAGGGUCGUAAAGCUCUUUCACCGGAGAAGAUAAUGACGGUAUCCGGAGAAGAAGCCCCGGCUAACUUCGUGCCAGCCGCCGCGGUAAGAC